CUGACGAAAACGUCCACCACCUGACUAGGGUCGAACUUAGGCGGCAUGUUUAGUUGUCAGAUUGCGUGUAGAGGUUUUCAAGGGAAGGUCACAGAACAAAUAUAGUUGUAGAAAUUGGAGGUGGGUAAGAUUAAGAAGGAGGCGCGGCGAGGGAAGCAGCAGAGUGAGAGUUUGUUAGCAUAUAAGCUCAGAGGAUUAGGGCUUUGCAGAUGCGUGGAAAAUGACUAAGUUGUCCUGGGGUUUUUCG
rnacentral:misc_RNA from 1 species